GACGAACGCUGGCGGCGUGCCUAACACAUGCAAGUCGAACGGGGUUGACCUUCGGGUCAACUUAGUGGCGAACGGGUGAGUAACGCGUGAGGAACCUACCUUCCAGUGGGGGACAACAGUUGGAAACGACUGCUAAUACCGCAUAACACAACGAGACCGCAUGAUCUUGUUGUCAAAGCUUUAUGUGCUGGAAGAUGGCCUCGCGUCUGAUUAGCUAGUUGGUGGGGUAACGGCUUACCAAGGCGACGAUCAGUAGCCGGACUGAGAGGUUGAACGGCCACAUUGGGACUGAGAUACGGCCCAGACUCCUACGGGAGGCAGCAGUGGGGAAUAUUGGGCAAUGGGGGAAACCCUGACCCAGCAACGCCGCGUGAAGGAAGAAGGCCUUCGGGUUGUAAACUUCUUUUACCAGGGACGAAGAACGUGACGGUACCUGGAGAAAAAGCAACGGCUAACUACGUG
rnacentral:rRNA from 1 species